rnacentral:rRNA from 1 species
CCUACGGGUGGCAGCAGUGGGGAAUAUUGGACAAUGGGGGGAACCCUGAUCCAGCCAUGCCGCGUGUGUGAAGAAGGCCCUCGGGUUGUAAAGCACUUUCAGUGAGGAAGAACGCCUGGUGGUUAAUACCCAUCAGGAAAGACAUCACUCACAGAAGAAGCACCGGCUAACUCCGUGCCAGCAGCCGCGGUAAUACGGAGGGUGCGAGCGUUAAUCGGAAUUACUGGGCGUAAAGCGCGCGUAGGUGGCUUGAUAAGCCGGUUGUGAAAGCCCCGGGCUCAACCUGGGAACGGCAUCCGGAACUGUCAAGCUAGAGUGCAGGAGAGGAAGGUAGAAUUCCCGGUGUAGCGGUGAAAUGCGUAGAGAUCGGGAGGAAUACCAGUGGCGAAGGCGGCCAUCUGGACUGACACUGACACUGAGGUGCGAAAGCGUGGGUAGCAAACAGGAUUAGAUACCCGUGUAGUC